AUUGAACGCUGGCGGCAUGCUUUACACAUGCAAGUCGAACGGUAACAGGCCUUCGGGUGCUGACGAGUGGCGAACGGGUGAGUAAUGCAUCGGAACGUACCCAGAGUUGGGGGAUAACGCAGCGAAAGCUGUGCUAAUACCGCAUGUGAUCUGAGGAUGAAAGCGGGGGACCGAGCAGCAAUGUUUGGCCUCGCGCCUUUGGAGCGGCCGAUGUCGGAUUAGCUAGUUGGUGGGGUAAAGGCCUACCAAGGCGACGAUCCGUAGCUGGUCUGAGAGGACGACCAGCCACACUGGGACUGAGACACGGCCCAGACUCCUACGGGAGGCAGCAGUGGGGAAUGUUGGACAAUGGGCGCAAGCCUGAUCCAGCAAUGCCGUGUGCGGGAAGAAGGCCUUCGGGUUGUAAACCGCUUUUGGCAGGAACGAAACGGUGUCCGCUAAUACCGGGCGCUAAUGACGGUACCUGCAGAAUAAGCACCGGCUAACUACGUG
rnacentral:rRNA from 1 species